CAGCCGAGUGACUCUGGGAAUUACACUUGUGACAUAACAGCAUUAGGCGGACGCUUUCAAAACUCAUGGAUGCUUCAUGUAUCAGGUGUCUUAUUUUGGGAGAAUUAUCCCGUUAUUUUAUUUGGAAUCACUUACACUUUAUUUGUUUGGUGUGCCUUACAACACUAAUCUUCUGUUGUUUUUGGAGGAGCAGGUGUCUUAUUUUGGGAGAAUUAUCCCGUUAUUUUAUUUGGAAUCACUUACACUUUAUUUGUUUGGUGUGCCUUACAACACUAAUCUUCUGUUGUUUUUGGAGGAGCAGGUGUCUUAUUUUGGGAGAAUUAUCCCGUUAUUUUAUUUGGAAUCACUUACACUUUAUUUGUUUGGUGUGCCUUACAACACUAAUCUUCUGUUGUUUUUGGAGGAGCAGAAAAAAUGUCGUAUGCUCCUGCAGUAAGUUGACACACCGUUUUUAAUUAAAAUAUUAUGGUUUUUUUGUUUUUUUAUUGCAUUUGUCUUAUUCACCAUAUCUUUUUAAAAAUUUUUUAAGUGUGUGAUGUCAGUGUUUGUGGCAGCAGAAGCCCUCCCACCCCAACCCACCGCAGCACUCCCACCCCAACCGCCAGCCCCACAACCACAACCGGCUCCUCAUCAACCAAGGCAACGGAGGCGUGCUAGGCCACCAAUUUUCCGCACCCGUGUCAUACUUUUUGGGAUGCCAGAUGAUGUUGUUGUGCGUAGAUACAGGCUGCCACCACAUCUAAUCCUAGACACUCUCUCCAUAAUAGAGAGUGAUCUGGAAUCUUCAAUUCGGUAUCCUACAGCAAUACCACCAUUGACACAAUUCCUUGCUGUGUUACAUUUUUUGGCCACAGGGUCAUUUCAGCAUGUUGUUGGAGACCUGGUUGGCAUGUCGCAGGGCCAGUUCAGUAAGGUCCUGCGGCGUGUCAGCCAGGCUUUCAUAAAGCGCGUGAAGCAAUUUAUUGCUAUGCCUCUGGAUGAUGGUGCCCUAGAUGUGGUGAAGCGGCAAUUUAAGGAAGGUGGUAGUCGCUUCCCACAUGUUAUUGGGGUUGUGGAUGGCACACAUGUAGCUAUUGUGCCACCAAGACAUAAUGAAGAAAUUUAUAGAAACAGGAAACUGUUUCAUUAUCUGAAUGUAAUGGUUGUUUGUGGGCCAUCCCUCCAGAUCCUUUCCCUGAAUGCCAAGUUUCCCGGAAACUCGCAUGAUGCUUAUGUCAUUAGACAAUCAGGGAUAUGGCACAGAUUAAGAUCAAGACAACGAGCAGACAUGUGGUUAUUGGGAGACCGUGGAUAUCCUUGCACCCCCUGGCUCAUGACUCCUUACCGUAAUCCCAGGCCAGGACCACAGACGGAAUUUAACUCCGCGCUUACUGCCACUAGACAGCUGGUGGAGCGCACAAUUGGGGUCCUUAAAGACCGUUUUCGUGUGCUCCACCGCACUGGUGGCGACAUCAUGUAUUCGCCGGAGAUGGCAAGUAAAAUAGUGGUCCUGUGUGCUAUACUACAUAACAUCGCGGUAAGGAGUAGCGUAGAGCUUCCUCAGACAGAGGAAUUGCCAGAUGAGGAGCCAGGGGUUGUCCGUCGAUUCGGUGGGGGGAGUGUUUCACGGAGGGGAAGCCAAGUCAGGGCAAGCAUUGUUGAAGAAUAUUUCAGGACGAACACAACGGCAAGCUGAUGCAGGGAGGCAACAUCAGGCCCCUUCUCAGCCCCCCUCCCCUUCUCACUCCCCCUCCCCUUCUCACUCCCCCUCCCCUUCCCAGUCCCCCUCAGCUUCCCAGUCCCCCUCAGCUUCCCAUUCCCCCUCAGCUUCCCAGUCCCCCUCAGCUUCCCAGUCCCCCUCAGCUUCCCAGUCCCCCUCCCCUUUCCACUCCCCUUCUCAGCCCACCUCUCCUUCUCUUUCUGUGCCCCCUUCUCCUCCUUCCCAGUCCCCUUCUCCUUCUCCUUCCAACUCCCCUUCUCAGCCCCCCUCACCCUCUAUUGGACAAACAUUCUCUCCGCCCCAAACAUUCUCUCCGCCCCCCUCGCCCUCUCAAUCAGACCCACCCUCAGAAAAUACAUCCCCAAUCCCUCCUCCUUACCGCAUCUCUCCUCCUUCCCCAAUCCCUCCUCCUUCCCCCAUCCAGCCUCCUUCCCCCAUCCCUCCUCCUUCCCCAAUCCCUCCUCCUUCCCCCAUCCAGCUGCCUUCACCACCCAGUGAAUGGGCAGAAGAAGCCCCUGAUGGACUCAGUGGUGAGCAUCAUGUUGCAGAGGAAAAUGUUGCAGUUGGAGAUCCAACAAGUUUUGGGGGCAUUCUGGAAAACAUGCGCCAACACCUGCAUGGCUUAUUGAAUUGUAUUGAUCAGUUACAAAAAUUGCUUGAUUACAUUUUGUUUAUAUUUUUUUACU